CCCAGAGGACGACCUCAGGGACGACACCUAGAGGACGACCUC
rfam:Ixodes scapularis strain Wikel colony gcontig_1108379814890, whole genome shotgun sequence.